UUCCAAUGCUGUUUUCAGUGUAAGAUACAUUUGCCCCAAGAGAUCCAACUGCGAGCACUGCUUUAUGAAUUGCUUCAAGAAAAGAUAGAUCGUCCCUCAGUGAACUAGGAAUAGAGGGAAACUCACUUCUUCAACUUGCUAAAAAGAGUUUACCAAAACUUGCUGCAAAAGGGUAAGAAACUCCAAGCUCUUCCGCUGAGAGGAGGGGAAGCCGAGGGCUCCCCACCUUGGCUGCGCCCCCACAGCAUCUUACUGGGAGUCCUGGACAAUUCACAGCAGAAGAAGGGAGAGAAGGCAGCAGAAGAAGCUGCCAUUUAGGAAGAAGUAAAGAAAAAUGAAACUGUCUUUGCACAUGACAGAAGCGCUGGUAUAGAAAGCCUCGGAGAGAUGACCGACCACAGAAGUCUUCGGAAUUAAUAACUGUGAUGUUAAUCCAUUGUCGAUUUGAUGUGAGUUAGAAUUACAAUGGAAACAAGUCUUUGGGAAACUCCGUGAGGGGGUUCCCAGGUAUGGGCAGAGUCACUGCCUGAGUUGGGUCCUGGGCUGAAUAAAAAGGAGAAAGUGAAAAAGAGCGAGCUGAGCUUCACCUCUUCUGCUUCCCGGCCAUGGGUGUCACGUGGCCAUCUCCUCUUGCCCCCUCCACAGGGCUUUUUCACGGCAAUGGACUGGGGGUAUUUUUAAACUGUGAUCCAAAAGAAAUCCUUCUUUUUCUUACAGCUGUUUCUGCCGUACUGGUGUGUGAGUAACUAACGCAGUGCCUGGUUUAAAGGCUGAAAGAUUCAAAGUUGAGGUAUAGGCUUACCCACUGUCCUAAAUGCCUGCGACGGACAGUUGGGAUUUGAGAUGAAAAGCACCGCACUGGUCACGGGACACUGUAAAUGCAGAUGAUGACAAGAUUCAAAGGAAGGAAUCGCAAUUCAAAGCGAACGCACUGCGAGCAGCAUGGGGUCUCUGACGCUCAGCAUGCUCUUUUCUCAGAAAUCUGCCUUCCCUUGGGUUUCUGGGUCAGUGACGGAAGUGACCAGGUGGGGCCCAUCUGGGAUCCUUGGCUCUUCAUUCGUCUUUUAAUGAUUUCAGUGUUGGGACCAGGACAGAGACAGCCAGGCAGCCCAGGAUCAUCCUGUGUCAGUGAUGAUAUCUGCCACCUGAAGGAGGUCGGGAGUUUAACAUUUGUCUUCAUAAUAAAAACCUUGAUGAAUGUGCACAUUUGAAUGAAUACAGUUCGUGAGCCAGGCUAGUCAGAGCCAGGCUAGUCAGUGCACAUUUGUUUUCAUAUAUGCAUAUUAGGUUUGCAUAUGUGUUAGGAUAGUAACAUAGAAGAUAAUCUGCACAUGUUUUCACAGCCUUGUAUUGUUAUUGUGUGAGUGUUCGCCUACAUGUAUGUAAACACACCAAAUGCAUGCAGUGUCGGUGGAGGCCAGAAGGGGGCCUCGGGUCCUCUGAGCCAGAGUUACAGACACUCCUCAACUGUGGCCGCUGGGUACAAACUGCAGGCCCCCGGAGAGUGGCAAGUCCCCCUGGCUGUACAGCUUAUUCUUUGCACCAGUUCUGGGGCACCACAGCCUCGUCCAUCACGGGCUGUCUGAGCCGGUUCACUCUCAGGUCGUGCUAGCUUUGCUGACUGGAGUACUUCAGGUCCUGCCUGCUCUGGCUCUGUGUUCUUCAGGACCCUCCAGCUGCGGGGAUGGUCACAGCCUCCUACGAACUCUCUGGAAACACUGCUGCUAGGAACAGACCUGUCACGGGAGGACCCUGCGUGUCAAGAUUGCAUCCCAGAAUGCCCGGUCAGCGGCAGAGAGCCUGGUCCGUGUGCUUCCUGCCCAGUAUGAACGCUGCGCCCGUCCCCUGCAGCCUCUGGGCCACACGAGGCUGCUCAAGGGCCCGAGCCACGAAGGGUGGCUGGACUUGACACAGCUGAGAAUCCCGUGGGAAGAGAGCCGCAGCUCAAGACAUUUCUAGAUCAGGAUUCUUGAGACACUUGAAACAAUCAAGAUUUCGAUACAUCUGACAAGACAGGCACGUGGCUACUUGAAGCAGUAACAGAGCAUCACAGCCUCUUUCCAGCUGUCUUCCAACCUUUUCAUACCAACUGAAAACACUCAUUUGACAUUUUCACUGACGCACUUCUUUUCAUAUGCCAGCUGUCUUCUUGGAAACUUCACUUAACUUUGUGCAAAUCUGAUGUGACAAACAGUUACUCGUUUGUACUCUGACGUGAAGCAGGAUAUGCCCACAUGUGCCCCAACUGAAAACACGAAGUAUUGUUCCUGCCAGAAUCAUCCCUAGAAGCUUCAGGUUAGCAGAGCAAGAGGUGCUGACCAGAAGUUUAAUGUGGUGAGAUCCGCUGAUGACUCCACACUGUCUCCUCACUCCUGAGAAUGUCAGUGAAGGCAGCCAGCCCCUCCUGUAGGUGUGAGCCUCCAUAUCUGAGCCAUGGCUUAUCAGACACACCUGUGUACCAACUCUCAACUCAACAGGAAGGAAAAGCUAUUGUCUAAGCUUUAGGAUCAAUGUUCUCAUCAACAAAAGCCCACAGUUGGGUACCACCAACAGGAGUUUGUUAUGACUCCUUUUCUGCUUCUCAGAGCACAAAAUAACCC